GAUGAACGCUAGCGACAGGCCUAACACAUGCAAGUCAGGGGCAGCACAAGGUAGCAAUACUUGGGUGGCGACCGGCGGACGGGUGAGUAACACGUAUGCAACCUGCCCGUAAUCGGGGGAUAACCCGGAGAAAUUCGGACUAAAACUCCAUGAAUCUGAGAUAUCGCAUGAUAAAACAGAAAAACGCAAGGAUUACGGAUGGGCAUGCGGAUGAUUAGCUAGUUGGAGGGGUAACGGCCCGCCAAGGCGACGAUCAUUAGGGGUUCUGAGAGGAAGGUCCCCCACAUUGGAACUGAGAGACGGUCCAAACUCCUACGGGAGGCAGCAGUGAGGAAUAUUGGUCAAUGGGCGAGAGCCUGAACCAGCCAAGUCGCGUGAAGGAAGAAGGUCUUAUGGAUUGUAAACUUCUUUAGCAGAGGGAUAAAGGUUAUUACGAGAUAAUAAUUUGCAGGUACUCUGCGAAAAAGGAUCGGCUAACUCCGUG
rnacentral:rRNA from 1 species